rnacentral:rRNA from 1 species
AUAAACGCUGGCGGCGCACAUAAGACAUGCAAGUCGAACGGAAGUCGUAAUAUAAAAUGAGUGAAGAUUUAUCUGAGUGAAUUUAAAUUACAAUGGCUUUAGUGGCGGACUGGUGAGUAAUGUAUAAGUAACCUGCCUAUUAGAGGGGAACAACAGUUGGAAACAGCUGCUAAUACCGCAUAUGCCAUAAGAAUCGCAUGGUUCAAGUGGGAAAGGAGCAAUCCGCUAAUAGAUGGACUUAUAUCUGAUUAGCUAGUUGGUGGGGUAACGGCCUACCAAGGCGACGAUCAGUAGCCGGACUGAGAGGUUAAACGGCCACAUUGGGACUGAGAUACGGCCCAGACUCCUACGGGAGGCAGCAGUCGGGAAUAUUGCGCAAUGGAGGAAACUCUGACGCAGUGACGCCGCGUGCAGGAAGUAAGGUUUUCGGAUUGUAAACUGCUUUAGACAGGGAAGAAACAAGACAGUACCUGUAGAAUAAGCUCCGGCUAACUACGUGCCAGCAGCGGC